GAUGCAUUACAGAAUGUAAGCAAAUAUGAAACGCGUGUCGUCUGCUCAAAAUCAGGUAAAUUUUUGGAAACACGUCUUGCUGUGUUACCUUUCCCGCCGACUGCUCUGAAAGCGAAGUCUCAACCCUAACCCGUGUUAGCCUCUACGAAUGUAAUCGGCAACAGUCCACUUCUUACGUGAGUAAAAACGCGACAGUGGGCUCUGCGUUAAGGAGAAACCUGAAGGGGCUGCUCAGUACGGAGAGAUUCGCAGUACCGUGUGCUAUUGUUGCACUUAAAUGAGAAAAGCCGGCAAAAGAGAACGACUAUGAGAGAACGCCAUGAUCGAAAUUGAGUAGACGCUUGGAUACACACGAUCACAGCAUGCACGUGAGAGGCUGCGACCUCAAUCAUCACGUUUCCAUAGCUUCACGUAACGUUAGCAGACGAAAAACGAAGUUCUUCCAGAAGCCCCACUAUGUCGAUACCGUUGCACAGACUAACUAGCGCCGCCUGGCGAGGCUUUGGUAAAAGAGGGAGACCACUCCACUUCCCCCGCUAGCAUGGCCGGCAAAUUCCCCACAGUCCACCUUCCCUCUACGCUUAUCCCUAUCCCUAUUUCCGCUGCUGCCACUGCCGCCGCGUCGAUGUUACAGUGUGGCUGUUGGAGCGGCGGACAGCAGUCGGCCGUCUCCUGUUCGCUCGUUCAGACCGGGGUAGUUUGCGACAUUGCCUCGUACAGGGCUAAAGGCGAUGUCGAAACUUUGCGAGCUAGAGAGUGAGCCUUCCCCUUUCCACUACCCCUCUGAGCGGAGCGGAUCGCGAGAGUGGUCAGAAGCACUGUCGGAAAACUCUGGAAUACUUCCUGGCUGCUUUGCCUUGCUCUGGCCUUACUCAGCUGGCCUGUCUGUUUAGUGCGCUCGCCGCCAACUUCGCUUCGUCGCGAGCUGGGGUAGUUUGCUGCCUCUCUACGUUGGAUUAUAUCGGCAGCCUAGCUCCGGCCCAUGGCUGCCAUUAGGAAUAGCAAGAUUUUUUGCGGAGCAGAAGCUUAUGGCGAGAACACUGUAGCUUUUUUCGAACCAUUAUCCGUCUCGAGAUGAUGAUAUAUGACUGAACAUUUCAAACUGUUGAUGAUAUUCGUCAGGGACCUCAGGAAAUCAGAUUUUGUUUUACUAUUAAUUCAAUAUAUAUUUAUGUACACAACAUGGCUUCUGUACGGCCAUGCGAUUAUAGUUUUAACGUA